UACGUAGGGGGCAAGCGUUGUCCGGAUUUAUUGGGCGUAAAGAGCGUGUAGGCGGUCAGGUAGGUCCGUUGUGAAAACUCGAGGCUCAACCUCGAGACGCCGAUGGAAACCAUCUGACUAGAGUCCGGAAGAGGAGAGUGGAAUUCCCGGUGUAGCGGUGAAAUGCGCAGAUAUCGGGAAGAACACCCGUGGCGAAGGCGGCACUCUGGGGACGGUACUGACGCUGAGACGCGAAAGCGUGGGGAG
rnacentral:rRNA from 1 species